UUUUAGAAUUUUAUUUUUGGUUCGUCUAAAGACGAUAUGUUUUAUUGGAUUUUAAAGAAACAUCUACCAUCUAAAAAAGAUGGUAGAGUUUCAGUAGAAAAUAGGUCUUUCGACCCUUUUUUUAAUGAUCCUUCCGCAGGUUCACCUACGGAAA
rnacentral:misc_RNA from 1 species